GUAAACCUGGAUAGUUUCAGGCUUGUUGAGACCAUUACUAUUGCUGCUGUGGCUGAAUACCUGACACGAAUAACUUCAGGGAAGAAAGAUUUAUUUUGUCUCGGCUGGAUCCACCGCUUUGAGCCAGAGGCAAGGUCAAAUAGAGCAGCUUUACAAAGCCAGAGAGAAGACUGGAGUUGUCACUCACUGAUGGGAUUCACGGAGAACAUCCAAAGCAAAGAAAAAGAUAUUCAAGGCUCAAAGAUGAACUGAAGAUAAUAAACUGAUCUGAGGGACAGAAGGCUUGCUGAUGAGGGUGAUGAGGAUAACUAUAAAAAUGAGAAGGUAUCUGUCCCAGGAAAAUUGCUUCUGGUAGGAAUGAACUGGUCUGUCAGUAAGCUCCAGAGAGGAAAUGGAUACAACUGAGCACACAAUAUUAUUCAAAAUACGUGAGGCAGGAAGAAGCACUUUUUCCCUUCAUGUUUUAAACAGACAACAGCAUGUCUGCAUCUAUGUCUCGAAGUUAGGAGAAAAACUCCCAUGGAAGUGAGAGAAGGCAAAAGAUAAAAGAGGUGUACAGGGUAAAUAUGAGCAGAAUAUAUGAUGCGAAAAGAUUAAAGUAUCUUUACAGAAUCCAUCACCAUGUGCAGUCAGUGAAUGCUGAUAAAGAUAACAAGCUGAAGAUUGAAAAAUAUUCUCCAAAUUAACCUAUCAAUAAUUCAUUUAUGCAACAUCAAUUAUAUGCAAAUCAUGGGGAUAAGCAGAAAGCAAAAU
rnacentral:sRNA from 1 species